GUGCCCUUGUCAAGUGGAUGCAGUGCUUUAAGGGCCUAACAAUGAAGGGUAAAUUAAGUGUCCAUGGAGUCCAGAGAGGAAACUGUAAAAGUCCUUUGGGAGUCUUGUCUGGCAGUGCAGCG